AGAGAGAGACAUGCGCGCAUAUCAAUAAGCGGAGGAAAAGAAACUAACAAGGAUUCCCUUAGUAACGGCGAGUGAAGCGGGAAGAGCUCAAAUUUGAAAUCUUCAAGGUUUUACCUUGACGAAUUGUAGUCUAAAGAAGUGUUUUCUGCUGAAGUUUUGGUAAAAGUUCUUUGGAAUAGGACAUCAUAGAGGGUGAGAAUCCCGUAUUUGACCAUUAUUUUCAGCUUUGUGAUACACUUUCAAAGAGUCGGAUUGUUUGGGAAUGCAGUCCAAAAUGGGUGGUAAAUUUCAUCUAAAGCUAAAUAUUGGCGAGAGACCGAUAGCGAACAAGUACCGUGAGGGAAAGAUGAAAAGAACUUUGAAAAGAGAGUUAAACAGUACGUGAAAUUGUCAAAAGGGAAGCGUUUGACACCAGUGUUGUUUUCUCGAAAAUCAAUUAAAAAUGGCUCGAUUUUGUAUUGCUUGAGACCUUAAAAGCUCACUGUACAUUUUUCGUGUCUUUUUUAAUGCACUUUUCGUUUAACAAGUCAACAUCAGUUUCUUUUGUUGUAAAAGGGUCAUUGGAAGGUGGCUUUCCUUUCGGAGAAAGUGUUUAUAGCCUUUGGCCUCUGCAAUCGGAGAGACUGAGGUCUGCAGCGUAGACUCUUCGGGGUUAGAUACAUUUGUGCUAAGUUAUAGCUUUUAUAGACAACUUGUUGACUAUAAUUAGUCUUGUAGCUUACUCGCUUAUGCUAUUUUACCUACGCUUAGGAUGUUGAAGAUGUAGCACAUCAU
rnacentral:rRNA from 1 species